rnacentral:rRNA from 1 species
AGUUUGCUGACGAGUGGCGGACGGGUGAGUAAUGUAUANGAACUUGCCCAGUAGUGGGGGACAACUUAUGGAAACGUAAGCUAAUACCGCAUAAUCUCUACGGAGGAAAGCAGGGGCUCUUUGGACCUUGCGCUAUUGGAUAGGCCUAUAUUAGAUUAGCUAGUUGGUGAGGUAAUGGCUCACCAAGGCGACGAUCUAUAGCUGGUUUGAGAGAAUGAUCAGCCACACUGGGACUGAGACACGGCCCAGACUCCUACGGGAGGCAGCAGUGGGGAAUAUUGCACAAUGGAGGAAACUCUGAUGCAGCAAUGCCGCGUGUGUGAAGAAGGCCUUAGGGUUGUAAAGCACUUUCAAUAGGGAGGAAAAGCGAGUAGUUAAUACCUGCUCGCCGUGACGUUACCUAUAGAAGAAGGACCGGCUAACUCCGUGCCAGCAGCCGCGGUAAUACGGAGGGUCCGAGCGUUAAUCGGAAUUACUGGGCGUAAAGCGCGCGUAGGCGGAUAAAUAAGUCAGAUGUGAAAGCCCUGGGCUCAACCUAGGAACUGCAUUUGAAACUGUUUAUCUAGAGUAUGGUAGAGGUGAGUGGAAUUUCAGGUGUAGCGGUGAAAUGCGUANAGAUCUGAAGGAACAUCAGUGGCGAAGGCGACUCACUGGGCCAUUACU